CCUUUUAACCUUAUUCUGCAUCUGUUGUCAAUGGUGGGAGUUAUCCAUUAAUUAGGAACCUGCUGCAAUGCUUACUGCCAUGUUAGUAGCAUAGCCAACAGCAGAAGAGAACCCGUGAAUUCAAAUAACAUAAAAUCAAGCAAAGCAUUCUCACGAAGAAGGCUAGCUAGGUUAACAAUUUUAGUCUUAAUCUUGCUGCUUUUAUUCGUGUGAUCAUCUGCUCAAGCUCUUCAACAAAAGCUUUAAGCUCUCUGCAAUCUCAGGUCUGUUAAAUGGAGCACUGACCAACACAACCCUGAAAGAUCUUCGUCGGUUCCGAAUUGCAUUGCAACCCUAUGAGGUAAAUACUGUUCUGAACAGCCAACUCCACACAGCAUUGAAAUCCUGACGCGUCGAGCAAAUGCCAUUAAAUUGUCGUUCAAACUAGAACCAACAGUCGCCGGCCCACAUUUCUUUUUCUUCAUAAAACUUGAGGAAAUCCCAGUUUUCCAGAGCUAAAACUCUCUUUAUCCGAGUCUAGAACCAACGAAACAUUCUCACCUUCCAGUUUCAAUUUGUUCCACCGAACAAACCUAGGGUACCCACUCCUAAUCAGAUUAGGCUCCGGCCGCCGCAGUUCACCGAACCUCUUCCAAACCCCAACCUGAACUAAUUGCAUUGAUGACCAAAGCUCAACUGUUAAACCAUCAUGUAUUCCCUUUCAACAAAGUCAUAUCUUUAUAAAUGCUGGCAAGAAGAGCAGGUGCAAGUGCAAUUCUAUUGCCUCUAGCGACAUGAAUUACAAUAGACAAAACAAGUUAAAUGCUUCAUGCUAAAUCUCGCUGCUACCAUCCAUGAAUUUCUUCAUUCACGACAGAUUACUGGCCUUCUUAGUAGGUGGUCUUAUCAUUUCUACUGUUGCAGUCUGGAAAACUGGAACUUCUCCAUCCAGAAUUUUGAUGCCUGUUCUUCUCGCUAAUCUGAUUGUUGUUCUUCAUCUUCGCCUUCAUCUUCCCUUCCAUCAUCUUUUUUAAUCUUAACCAUAGAUUUCACCAUGUUUUCCGCCUAUUAUACAUGACCCACUUCAAUUAUCAUUAUCAUUGAUUAUCUUUGAUUUAUUUUGUCCAGAACUUUAUAAUGCUACUAGUAAUAUUAUAAUCAGAGCUUCAAUGAGUGUGAUCUACUUGGUGAACUUCUUUAAUUUUAUUAGAUUCACAUGGUCGAGUUUUUUUGAUGAUAGAUUUGAUGUAUAAUUAAAGUAUUUAUUUUAUUUUUCUCUCGUCAUCGUAAUUGUGAAGUCAUUUAACAAAUAUAUUUUUGAAAUAUCAUGUUUCCCAUAAAACAACUUUAAAAUAUUAAAUUUCACAACUAUUUAUCUGAUUCUUUUUGGAACUACCGGAACAUACGUCACACUUUUCUGCAUAAGUGUUUCUGUCUCCACUAGCACACCUGCAUAGCUUCACAGACAUGGCUAUUUAUGGCCAGCAUUAGCCGACCUACACAUGUCCUACACAUUUCUUCUGAUACAACUUAACUCAGAUUAGUUGGACUACCAUGCGACCCGUGAUGGGAGUUCCAGAUUAAAAUAAUUAAUUUUAAAAAGAGACAAUGACCUCGGGAUCAUGUUAAACUUAUAAAAAAAAUAUAUAGAAUAAAAUAUAAAUUUCAAGGUUCAAUAACUUAAUAUUAAAAAAUUAAAUCAGAAAAAUUAAAUUAAAAAAAUUAAAAAAAAACCUGACUUAUCUCGAAAAAAACUCAACCUAAGCUAUAACACCGGAUAACACCACAUAAAGGGGGAAAAAUUUAGAUCUAAUAACCUAAAAUCAAAUUAAAAAGUAAUUAUUUAUUUUAAAAAAAAGAAAUAAAAGACCAAAGUUAAAUCAGAUUAAUCCUUGAAAUAAUGACCCGGUUCAUAAGAUUGAGAUUAUCUCAUUAAAGGCAAACAAUAAAAAAUCACUAAGCAUAAUCCUUAAUCAUCCAAAAUUAAAAACCAAAAUAAAUAGCAAUCGAAACAACAAUGGCUAAAUCUAGAAUAAAAGCUAAAUGAAAAAAACAAUGAGAGACUAAAUUAAAAAUAAAAGUCAGUUUAGGUGUAACUCGAUUAAUUUCUAGAGGUCAAGGCUCUGAAGGUAACAACCAAAUAAACCUCUAGUAAUUUUAAGAUUUACAGAACUCGAACUAAUAAUAUCUUGAAAGCAAACUAAAAAUCUAAUUAAUUGGGUGACACCUUCAAGUUAAUUAUGAUUUGUUAUGCACAUGUGGCUUUGUAUUUGAGACUUUUCCAAACUGUUUGUUAUUGAAGCCACACUAUUUUUUGGUAAAAAAAAUGAUUUUUUAAUUAAUUUUUUUAUUUUAAAAUUAAUAUGUUAAUAUUAAAAAUAAAUUAAAAAAAAAAACAAAAUAAAAAAACAACCGAAUACUGCAAAUCUAAACAAGCUAGUUAAGACUUUACGUUUCUCUAACAUAAAGCAUGUGGUUGCAUUGUUUAACCUCAAUACUUCUAGUAUUAUUUUUUUUCAUUUUGUUUAAUUCUGUCUGCCUGUCUUCUUCUUCGAUUACCGCCGGUUAUACUCAAUCAAAUGCUUACAUCGUGUUUAUAUAACAACUGGCGGCAUCGCCCGGCAAUUCACCUAGUAUGUACUGUCACUCAAAACAUUCAACUUGGAAGAGAGAACGCAAAUCCUUAAUCAAAUGAAAACUUCAUCAAAGGAAGAAGGAUAUUAAUCAAAUGAAAACUUUAUAGACGUCUCACUAUACAUAGAAUCUGUGGUAUCCGAUGAUGAAGAAGAUGAAACGAAAACUAUCUCUGCAGCAACAAUCCCUAGGGCUACUAGACAAAAUACUGAGUUUGAAUUCAUUUGUACGUUGGGCUAUCAAGAUCAGAACGACAACAUAUUUCCUAACACUGGCAUAUUAGCACUGUACCUGCAUCAAGAAAUUGCGAACUUUUGCAACCAUGCAACUUUAUCUGAAGAGCUGGUGUACGAAGACGGUAACCAUUUGGCAUUGGUAUUAUAUGAUUAUGCUGGGUGGCUACAACUGAUUCGAGAGAGAGAGAUGAGCAACAAGUAAUGUGUAUGCUUGACAGAGAUGGGCUGGAUCAGCAGAAGGCCUCCAAUAAUGGAGUUAUAAAGAACAUGGGCCGGUUGGAAAAAGCAGAAGUCCUUCAAAAUGGACCAACAACAGGGUCAUAAUAGUGGUAGCUCAAGCAUUGGGCCAUCUUUUGCUAAUUUCAUUAUCCCCAUUGCCGACCAAACUGAAAUCGCUGAUCUAGAAUUGCAGAAUAGGAGAUCUCAAAGUAAUCAAGCUAAGAAGUUGUCAUGUAAAGCACUGACUGUUAAGAGAAGAAAACCAUGAAAAAUGGGACAUCAAAGAUCCAAGAAAGUUGAGUUAGGCAUAAUUGAUUACUCUGUCUCUGAUAAUGGAAUCAGGAAUAGAAAUGUUAUUAUUCGAUUUGGGAAGGAAAUAGAUGGUGCAGAUGAAGUUAGCAGUUCGCACUCUCAUAUCUCUCCAUCAUCUGGUGAUUCAGCACAUGAACCAUUACAACCUGACCCUAGGGAAGAAGCAGCAGCUUGCUGGGAAGUGGGAAAAGUGGUAUUGCAAGUCCAUGAUGAAAGCCUCAUGACACCGACACUGCAGAGCUUUAUAGAAAAAGAGAAAGAGGAGUGGAUGAGAAGGAAGAAGCAGUAAGGAUGGUAUCUCUGUCUCGAUAAAGGUAUGGUUAUUAAUUCUUGAUAUGGGUAGUAUUAUUAUUUGGAAUGUGCGUGGUAUAAGAGCUAGAGAUAAAAAAAGAUGUUUGAGGAAUCUUGUGGAAAAAUUUAGGAUGGAUGUUCUGGGUAUUUUGGAAACGAAAUUGGAAAAUAUUACUGAUUGUAUUGUUAGUUCGAUUUGGGGUAGAUGUUCUAGGGACUGGUAUGUUGUUCCUUCCUUAGGUCUUUCUGGGGGUAUCCUUUGCAUAUGGAACCCAGCUUCUUUUUGUGUUUCCAAUUGCUCUGUUGCUAUGAAUGGUCAUAUUCUUCAUGUUGAAGGUGUGUUUUCUCGGUUCAAUAUGGAAUGUUUGGUGUCUUUUGUGUAUGCUCCGAAUGAUGUCUCAAUGAAGAAGGAACUAUGGGAAUACCUUGCUAAUUUCAAAACGAGCAUUAGCAAGCCCUAGUGUCUUGCAGGUGACUUCAAUGAAACUAUUUCCCCAUCAGACAGAAAAGGAGGCUCUAGAAUCUCUGCUGCGAUGAUAAGCUUUAACAAUUGUAUUGAUUGUUGUGAACUUGUUGAACUUCCUUUAAAUGGGAAGAAGUUCACUUGGUCUAGGGGAAAUGUUGCGAGUCGUAUUGAUAGACUAUUUAUGUCGGGUGAUUGGCUUCAGUCACUCCCAUCUUCUACUCUGUAUGGGCUGCCGAAGAACUUCUCUAAUCACAGACCUCUGCAUAUGCUGAUAGAUUCUACGAUCUGGGGACCAAAGCCUUUCCGGCUUAUGAACUGCUGGUGGUUCAUAUCUGGCUUUAGAAAGAUGAUCCAGGACUACUGGAACUCAACCUUGACAAACUGUGGUAAAAAACGUAUGGCCCCAACAUUAAGGUUAUUAAAAGACAGGUGCAAGGAAUAGAGUAAAGAAGCUGUGGGCAACACCUGCAGAAAAAUCAACGCUCUAGAAAUGGAAGUAGAAUUUCUAGAAUCUCAAAAAGAAAGUAGAGACUUAUCAUCUGCUCAGUUAACCAGAAGUGAAGUCAUUUACUCUAACCUUAGAACCUUAUAUAGAAUUCAAAAAUCUGUUUGACACCAAAAGUCGAGAGUCCAAUUGUGUAAGCUUGGAGACAGAAACACUCGUUUCUUUCAUCUAUCAGCCACAACAAGACACAAAAAGAAUCAGAUUUUCUCCUUGGAUGUUGAUGGAACAACUCUAACUAAACCGUCUGAUGUGAAGAUAUCUGUCUUUGAUUUUUUCAGUAAGUUAUACUCUCACCAUGCCAGACCGAGAGCCUCCUGUCGUAAUCUAGACUUCCUAAAGCUUAAGCCCACAUCAUUGGCUGCUUUAGAACUUCUGUUCUCUGCUGAGGAGAUAAAAUCUGCAGUUUGGGAGUGUGAAGGAAACAAAGCUCCAGGCCCUGAUGGUAUUAAUUUUUUCUUUAUUAAGAAAGCAUGGAACAUUAUAGGAGGGGAUAUUGUUCGAAUGUGGAUGAAUUUUACAGGACAAACCUUCUCCGCCUGGCAUCAAUAGCUCCUUUGUUACUCUUAUCCCAAAGAUACAAAGUGCCAAUAAGUUGAAAGAUUUUAGGCCUAUCAGUCUAGUAGGAAGCCUUUACAAGAUCAUUUCAAAGCUACUGGCAACCAGGAUGAAGCAAGUUCUGUCAGAAGUCAUCAGUGAUCACCAAACUGCUUUAUAAAAGGAAGGCAAAUCCUAGACAGUGUUUUGAUAGCAAAUGAGGCGAUUCAUUUCUUAAAGAAGAGAAAGGGCAAAGGAUAUCUCUUCAAACUAGAUUUUCACAAAGCUUUUGAUUCUGUGUUAUGGGAAUACAUCAAUGAAGUUAUGGUUGCUAUGGGCUUCGGGAGCAGGUGGCGAGGUUGGAUCAUGCAAUGCAUUUCAACACAAAGAUGUCUGUGCUAGUCAAUGGAUCUCCAACGGCAGAAUUUAACUUGGAAAAAGGUUACGGCAAGGAGACCCCCUCUCACCUUUUCUUUUCAAUAUUGCAGUUCAGGGAUUGAGUUGUAUGUUGCAGCGAGGUUGUGAUUUGGGUUUGAUCGAGGGUAUUAAGAUUGGCCAGGAUGGUUUUUCAUUAUCUCAUCUUCAAUUUGCAGAUGACACUCUUAUAUUCAGCUCAGACUCUUACUUAGUAUGCAAAUAUCAAGCGCAUCCUUUUAUGUUUUGAAUUAAUGUCAGGUCUGAAGGUUAACUUUUGCAAAAGCAGCAUCUUUGGUGUGGGUAUAGAUGAUCAUAUAUGUAAUUACACUGCUCAAGUUCUUCGAUGUAAGCAGGAGCGCCUCCCAUUCAAAUAUCUUGGCCUCCCCAUUGGUGCAAGCUCUUGUAGAACUUCGAUGUGGAAACCUAUUCUCCAUAAUAUCAGUGCUAGGUUGGCUUCGUGGAAAGGCAGACUUCUAUCUAUUGGGGGUAGAUUGUGCUUAAUCAAAUCUGUCUUAGGAAAUUUGCCAAUUUACUUUCUCUCUUUGUUUCCUAUGCCUGCGACAAUUGCACCUCCAUUGAAAAGAAAUUCAAAGCCUUCUUGUGGUCAGGAAAAGAGGAAGACAAGAAAAUAUGCAAUGUUAGAUGGUCAAUUAUUUCUCUGCCAAAAAAUAUUGGUGGUCUUGGGAUCGGAUCUCUAAGGGACAAAAACAAAGCACUGAUGUUCAAAUGGUUAUGGAGGUUUGGGUCGGAGGAGUCGAGCAUGUGGAAGGAUGUGAUUACCAGCAUAUACAACAUUAAAUGCUCCACAAUUAUUCCGAAACAUCCUAUUGCAAGCACUGGAACUACUUGGUCUCGUAUUGUUAAUCAUUGUGUUUCAGAUUACAGACUACAAGACAUUGUGAAACAUUAAUUUGUUAUGCUAGUUGGAAACGGUAAGAGGAUUAAAUUCUGGCUUGAUGACUGGACAUCUAUUGGUCGCCUGGCAGAUCAGUUUCCUUCCAUAUUCCGGUUAUCCAAUGAUAAAUAAGCAAGCCUUGAUAAGAUGGGGAUAUGGGAUGGUCAUGCUUGGUUCUGGCUAUUAAACUGGACUAGACCCUUGCGAGGUAGAAACUUUGGUCUUCUAGACCAAUUGAAUGCCAUUCUUUUGAAAGUACAUCCGGAUAAAGAUGAUGAGGAUAGAUUAGUUUGGAAAGCCAACUCCACUGGUAGAUUCUCGGUCAAAUCUCUUUGUGGGCUGUUAAGUCCCAAUCCCCCUAUGGACACUAGCUUCUCCUUUAUUGGGAUUUGGAGAGGAAUCGUCCCUCCUAAAGUUGAAAUAUUAUGCUGGAUGGCUAUCAUUAAAAAAAUUAAUACUCGUAGUAUGCUGGUCAGAAAAGGAAUAUUAGACAUCUCAAUUGCUGCUUCUCCCAUUUGCUUUGUUGAGGAAGAAUCGGUUGAUUAUAUAUUGCUGCAUUGUCACAAACAUUGGAUAGUUUGGUCUAAAAUUAUCAAUUGGUGGGGCUUAGCGUGGUGUUUCCCAAAGAACUUGGCGGCUCUUUUCUCUCAGUGGGACUCCUUGGUUUAUGGAAAAUUUCAAAAAAAAGCUUGGUUGAUGUUGUUCUUUUCAGUGGCAUGGUCUCUUUGGCUUCUUCGUAAUGAUGUGAUAUUCAAGCAAACAACCCCGAAUUAUGAUACUUUGUUUAUCCUUAUUAUUACUCGUCUCUGCUUUUGGAUAAAGGCUAUAGAGCCUGAUUUCUCUUAUUCUGCUUCAAAAUUAAUAAGGUCAGCAGAAGGGUUGGUUCGAUGGACUAAUUCUACAAAUCAUAGGGCAAUUGUUGUGUGGUCUCCCCCUAUGACUAAUUGCUUCAAAUGGAAUGUGGAUUGUUCCUCUCUUGGGAAGUCGGGGCCCUUAGGUAUAGGCGGAGUCUUGCGAAAUCAUCAUGGGAUUCUUCUUGGUAUAUUCUCCUCGCCAGUUGGGAUUUUAGACUCUAAUGUAGCUAAACUAAAAGCGGUUGUCAAAGCUAUUGAAUUAUCAGCUUCUAACUGUCACCUGCAUCAUAAACACAUUAUUGUUGAAUCUGACUCGACCAAUGUCAUUAGCUUGAUGAAUAACCCCCAUAAUAGGCCUUGGCUGCAUCAUAAUCUUUUCUCCUUUAUUCAGAGAGUAGCUUCAUGUUUUGGUUCACUCACAUUCACUCAUUCUCUUCAUGAGAGUAAUCAUAUGGCAAAUCACAUGGCAAAAAAAGGGGUGUUUAGAAACACUGAAUGGGUCGAUUGGCUCUAAUUUGCUUGAUAUAUAGGCCUUUCGUUUUUUUUCUUUAAAUUCUGGUUGCGGAUGCAAAGGAAACUGGAUUGUUUCCCAGAUUACUCUAUUUCUAGAAAGGAGAGGAAUCUUCAAGCUAUUCAGAGCAAUUCCAGCUGGUCAGAUCUUUGUCUUUUUGAAACUUCUUGGUCUCAGAUUCUGAUGUUGCAAGUCUAGGGCUUCUUUGAUGGGCUUCCUUUUGCCUCCUACGGUUUUCUCUAUGUUAGUGUCUUGGUUCUCUAUAUUUUAAGUUGUCAAAGGUUGUUCUGUGAAGAGUCCAUGGUUGGUAUUUUGUUUCGGAUAAGAAGAUGCAAGAUGGAAAGAUUUUGUUUUCUUCUAAUCUGGAUAUCGGUAGAAGUCUGUUUGGCUUCUCAUCCUGGUGUGGCUCCAAAUCUGCAUCUUUUAGCUGCUUCUUUGAUAUUUUGGCAUCAAAUCUGUAUAUUAUAACUGCAAUUUGUUCUUUUCGUUUCUUGGUAUGUUGUUCAUUUCAUUACAUAGUUCUGUUUAGGUGAGUUGUACACAAAAUCUGUAUGUUCCCGUCAACUAUUGGUGUCUUCUAAUGCAAUAGUAUACUUCUAAAAAAAAAAGGAAGAAGGAUAUUAAGGGAAGACGAAUUCCAACACAUAUCUAGGUUGAGGGCUGAUGAUUUCACCUAGUGUAUUUUUUUUUCUUGUUUGAGAUUCGUUGCUUGCUCGAAGAAAAUGACCUCGAUUCUCAGGUUAAGAUUUUGUGGAAUUUCUUUUUUCUUUUAACUAGGAUAAAUCUUGAUAAAUCAUGGUCAGCUUUAAUGUAAUUAAAUUGAUUAGGUCAUAAAUCAUGAUCAUCAACUGAGCUAGCAAUUAAUCUAGGUUCUGAAUUAUCGGAUUUUUACAUGGAUUUAUUGGACUAGGCUUGGUUUUACAGUUAUAGUCAAGCAUUCCACUCUCUUUGAAUUUUUUUUAUAUUAUUAUUAUUUUAUAUAAUCGUGGGCUUUCAUUGCCCAGCACAUUCAAAUCUUGAUUAAAUGGAGCUUAACUCUCGUGGAUUGGUCUUGUAGAGCUUUUGUUUAAGCCCUGGCAUGGUCAUGGUUGCCGUUUUGUAUCUUUGGUUUCUGUUUUUGAAAAUAACUUCUAAAUAUGGGAAAAUAAAGGUGGUGAUAACAUGUUUGGCACUGUAUAAGUAUUUUAAUUUUUUUUUUAAUUAAUAUAUUUUUAAUAUUUUCAAAUUAUUUUGAUAUGUUGAUGGAAAAAAUAAUUUUUUUUAAAAAAAUAUUAUUAAUAUACUUUUCUGAGUAAAAACAAAUUUUAAAAAUAAAUUACAAUCACACAGAAACACGACACUCAAACAGGGGUCAUUAAAACAAAAUGAAAAAACCUGAAAAUUAUGAAAAAAACUGUUUUUAUUUUUAGAAAACAGAAAAUAAAAAUAUGCAACGGCAACAAUACCCCACAUUUAAUGUUAGAUUCUUUUGAUUUUAAAAGCAGACAUUACGAGAGAGCAACUUUCACUUUUCAAAUCGAUAGCAAAACAAAUGUGAGUUGUUCUAAGACUAUUUUAGAUAUUCAUUACAUCCCAAAGUUAUUAAAUCAGCGACAUGUUAAUUGGAUUAAUCCAAAACUUUUUUUUUUUUUGGAAGAUCCUAGAAUAUAAUAAAUUUUUUAAAGCUUACAUUAAAAAACAUAUAAUUUUUUUUUUGUGAAGAUAGGGUAUAUAUAUGAAAAGAUUUUAAAUUCCACAUUAAAAAAAUAAUUUUUUUUUGGAAACAUAGAUGUAUAUAUAUAUUAAAAAGUUUCAAAUCUCACAUUGAAAAUAAAUUAUGUCAUCUUUUUAAGUUGAAGUAUUUAAACCAAAAAACUUAUUAUUCCGCAUUGAAAAAACAUAAUAUUUUUCUUGUGAAUAUAGAGUAUAUAUACGAAAGGGCUUCAAAUCACAUAUUGAAAAAACUUUUUUCUUAGGAACAUAGAGUAUAUAUACUAAAUAGUUUUAUAUCUCACUUUAAAAAGACACAACUUUUUUCUUAUGAACAUAAAGUAUAUAUAUGAAAGGACUUGAAAUCUCACAUUAAAAAAAUAACUUUUUUCUUGGGAACAUAAAGUAUAUUCUAAAGGGUUUCAAUUCCACAUUGAAAAAAUAAAAUAUUUUUCUAGUAUUUAUAUAGUGAACUUUUAAAAGUGUUAAUAACCAACUAAAAAAAAUAAUAAAAAAGGGAGUAUAGAAGAAAAACCACAUUUAAAAAAAAAAAUCGAGUUUUAUCCGGGUCAUGGGUCGUGUAACGGCCCGACCCAACUUGUUAUAUAUUGUCCGCUUUAGGCCUUACCGCCCUCACGGUUUUGUUCAUGGUGACGCGAGCCCAAUUCUGAGCCUAACGUCCCAAAACGCGUAUAACAAGUUGGCAGCAGCACCACUUGUAAGGCCAGCAACACACCCCUCACCCGCCGACGUGGGAUCUUACAAUCCACCCCCCUUAAGAAGCCCGACGACCCCGUCGGCACAAUCGGAUAGCCAGUGAGGUCGGCUCUUAUACCAAAUGUAACGACCCGGCCCAACUUGUCAUAUAUUGUUCGCUUUGGGUCUUACCGCCCUCAUGGUUUUGUUCCUGGUGACGUGAGCCCAAUUCUAAGCUUGACGUCCCAAAACGCGUAUAACAAGUUGGCAACCAGCACCACUUAUAAGGCCAGCAACACACCCCUCACCCGCCGAUGUGGGAUCUUACAGGUCGACUAGGUUUUGCCGGAUUAUUAUACCGGCUGGUCUUUCAACAAACCCAGAUCAGUCCAUCCACUAGGUCGACCGAGUUUAAUAAUUGUGCUAAAUUCAUUCCUUUUCAUGUACGGACCGAUUAUAACUCAAUAAUCAACAACAUGUAUGAUGGAUUCUACUUUCAAUAAAAAUCCUGAAUUAUUAUUGUUGUUUGUGCUUGAUGAUCAUAAUAACUUUAAUUUUUUUUUUUAAUUUUUCAAGCGGAGUUCAUGGUUCAAAUUACGGGUUUUACAAAUUAAAGUGUAAAGUUUAGAUUGAUUUAAUAUAUCAUUGUUUUAAUAUUAAAAAACCUCUUUUAAUAUUUGAUUGAUUUUAAAUUAAUUAUUAUAAUUUGUUUGGAUUUGAUAUUUAUAAAAUUAUCUAAAUCUAAAUCAAUUUAAUUAAUGCUGAAUUCUACUAGUUUCUAUUGCUUUUAUUUAAACUAUUAUAUAAACAAAUAAAAGAUAAUUUUUAAUAAAAAUUAUUAAAAAUUUGUAAGUUAAACUAUAAAUUUCAAAUUGGUCUUAAUAUUUAAAGGAAAAUAUCUCUUCCUUAAAAAUUGUUUAUAUCAAAUCAACACUUCAAAUCAACUUCGUAAAAUAAGAAAAAAAACUCUCAAGUGCUUAUCUAGUCAGGAUUGGGUGGGCAGAACAGAUAACGCCUAGUAGGCUCUGCAUUGGGUACAGCAGCACACGGCAUUUGUCUGCACACUGUGAUAAUAACUUCAAGCCAUAGUGCAUGGUUAUUAUAUGAAUAUAUUUAUUUCUAUUAUCCUUUUAACCUUGUUCUGCAUCUGUUUUCGAUGGCGGGAGUUAUCCAUAUAGGAACCUGCUGCAAUGCCAACAGGAGAAGAGAAGCCAUGAAUUCAAAUAAAAUAAAAUCAAGCAAAUCGUUCUCACGAAGAAGGCUAGCUAGGUUAACAAUUUUAGUCUUAAUCUUGCUGUUUUUAUUCGUGUGAUCAUCUGCUCAAGCUCGUCAACAAAAGCUUUAAGCUCUCUGCAAUCUCAGGUCUGUUAAUUAGAGCAUUGACCAACACAACCCUGAAAGAUCUUCGUCGGUUCCGAAUUGCAUUGCAACCCUAUGAGGUAAAUACUGUUCUGAACAGCCAACUCCACACAGCAUUGAAAUCCUGACGCGUCGAGCAAAUGCCAUUAAAUCGUCGUUCAAACUAGAACCAACAGUCGCCGGCCCGCAUUUCUUUUUCUCCAUAAAACUUGAGGAAAUCCCAGUUUUCCAGAGCUAAAACUCUCUUUAUCCGAGUCUAGAACCAACGAAACAUUCUCAACUUCCAGUUUCAAUUUGUUCCACCGAACAAACCUAGGGUACCCACUCCUAAUCAGAUUAGGCUCCGGCCGCCGCAGUUCACCGAACCUCUUCCAAACCCCAACCUGAACCAAUUGCAUUGAUGACCAAAGCUUAACUGUUAAACCAUCAUGUUUUCCCUUUGGAAUCCCCAACAAGGUUGACUCUACGAUUUAAUUUCCCUUUCAACAAAUUCAUAUCUCUAUAAAUGCUGGCAAGACAAGUGCAAUUCUAUUACCUCUAGCGACAUGAAUUACAAUAGAGAAAACAAGUUAAAUGCUUCAUGCUAAAUCUCGCUGCUACCAUCCAUGAAUUUCUUCAUUCACGACAGAUUACUGGCCUUCUUAGCAGGUGGUCUUAUCAUUUCUACUGUUGCAGUCUGGAAAACUGGAACUUCUCCAUCCAGAAUUUUGAUGCCUGUUCUUCUCGCUAAUCUGAUUGUUGUUCUUCAUCUUCACCUUCAUCUUCCCUUCCAUCAUCAUUUUUAAUCUUAACCCUAGAUUUCACCAUGUUUUCCGCCUAUUAUAUAUGACCCACUUCAAUUAUCAUUAUCAUUGAUUAUCUUUA
rnacentral:lncRNA from 1 species